rnacentral:rRNA from 1 species
GAGUUUGAUCAUGGCUCAGAUUGAACGCUGGCGGUAGGCUUAACACAUGCAAGUCGAACGUGAAAGCUCUUCGGAGCGAGUAGAGUGGCGGACGGGUGAGUAACGCGUAGGAAUCUACCUAGUAGUGGGGGACAACAUGGUGAAAACCAUGCUAAUACCGCAUACGCCCUAAGGGGGAAAGCGUGGGAUCUUCGGACCACGUGCUAUUAGAUCAGCCCGCGUUAGAUUAGCUAGUUGGUGAGGUAAAGGCUCACCAAGGCUACGAUCUAUAGCUGGUCUGAGAGGAUGACCAGCCACACUGGGACUGAGACACGGUCCAGACUCCUACGGGAGGCAGCAGUGGGGAAUUUUCUGCAAUGGGCGAAAGCCUGACAGAGCAAUACCGCGUGAGGGAAGAAAGCCCACAGGGUUGUAAA